GAUGAAUGCUGGCGGCGUGCCUAAUACAUGCAAGUCGAGCGGCAGCGCGGUCUUCGGACUGGCGGCGAGCGGCGGACGGCUGAGUAACGCGUGGGAACGUACCCCAAAGUGAGGAAUAACUGCCCGAAAGGGUAGCUAAUGCCGCAUAUGGUCUUCGGAUUAAAGGAUUUAUCCGCUUUGGGAACGGCCUGCGUACGAUUAGAUAGUUGGUGAGGUAAUGGCUUACCAAGUCGACGAUCGUUAACUGGUCUGAGAGGAUGAUCAGUCAGACUGGAACUGAGAUACGGUCCAGACUCCUACGGGAGGCAGCAGUAAGGAAUCUUCCACAAUGGACGAAAGUCUGAUGGAGCAACGCCGCGUGCAGGAUGAAUGCCUUCGGUUGUAAACUGCUUUUAUCUGUGACGAUAAUGACGGUAGCAGAUGAAUAAGGAUCGGCUAACUCCGUG
rnacentral:rRNA from 1 species